rnacentral:rRNA from 1 species
CCAAUAGCGUAUAUUAAAGUUGUUGCAGUUAAAAAGCUCGUAGUUGAAUUUCGGGAUUGACGUGACGGUCGUGCCACCGGUACGUACUGGUCUCACUGAUUCCUCCUUCCUGAUGAGCUGUAAUGCCAUUAAUUUGGUGUUGCAGGGAAUCUGGACUGUUACUUUGAAAAAAUUAGAGUGUUUAAAGCAGGCUAACGCUUGAAUACAUUAGCAUGGAAUAAUGAAAUAGGACGUUCGAUCCUAUUUUGUUGGUUUCUAGGAUUGACGUAAUGAUUAAUAGGGAUAGUUGGGGGCAUUAGUAUUCAAUUGUCAGAGGUGAAAUUCUUGGAUUUAUUGAAGACUAACUACUGCGAAAGCAUUUGCCAAGGAUGUUUUCAUUAAUCAAGAACGAAAGUUAGGGGAUCGAAGACGAUCAGAUACCGUCGUAGUCUUAACCAUAAACUAUGCCGACUAGGGAUCGGAUGAUGUUAAUUUUUUAAUGACUCAUUCGGCGCCUUACG